CCUGAAGCCAAAACCCGCUAGACUUUGCUUCUUCCCGCCUGCCUGUAGCGGCACUGGUGCCACUCCGCCACCAUGUUCGAGGCGCGCCUGGUCCAGGGCUCCAUCCUGAAGGUGUUGGAGGCACUCAAGGACCUCAUCAACGAGGCCUGCUGGGACAUCAGCUCGAGUGGCGUAAACCUACAGAGCAUGGACUCACCCCAUGUCUCCUAGGUGCAGCUCACGCUACAGUCUGAGGGCUUUGACACGUACCGCUGCGACCGCGACCUAGCCAUGGGCGUGAACCUCACCAGUAUGUCCAAAAUACUAAAAUGUGCUGGCAAUGAAGAUAUCAUUACACUAAGGACUGAAGAUAAUGCGGAUACCUUGGUGCUAGUAUUUGAAGCACCAAACAAGGAGGUUUCAGACUAUGAAAUGAAGUUGAUGGAUUUGGAUGUUGAACAACUUGGAACUCCAGAACAAGAGUACAGCUGUGUGGUAAAGAUGCCUUCUGGUGAAUUUGCUCGUAUAUGCUGAGAUCUCAGAUAUAUUGGAGAUGCUGUUGUAAUUUCCUGUGCAAAAGACGGAGUGAAAUUUUCUGCAAGUGUAGAACUUGGAAAUGGAAACAUUAAAUUGUCACAGACAAGUAAUGUCGAUAAAGAGGAGGAAGUUGUUACCAUAGAGAUGAAUGAACCAGUUCAAUUAACUUUUGCACUGAGGUACGUGAACUUCUUCACAAAAGCCACUCCACUCUCUUCAACAGUGACACUCAGUAUGUCUGCAGAGGUAUCCCUUGUUGUAGGGUAUAAAAUUGCUGAUACGGGACACUUAAAGUACUACUUGGCUCCCAAGAUCGAGGAUGAAGAAGGAUCUCAGGCAUUCUUAAAAUUCAAGAAAAUAAAACUAAGCUCUUUGAGAACUGCUUCUGAGAUGCCAACAUAUACUGAAGUCUUUUCUGUCACCAAAUUUGUGCCUCUAAGUACAUAUGUAGAUAAUUAUCUGUAAAUAAUCUCUUUUUUUCUCUAUUCUCUGCAGUUUGUUUAGAUCUCUGCAAAGUCAGAUCCAGUCUAAUUAACCUAGAAUUAUUUUUGUCUCUUAAAAAUACUUGUGAUUUUUAUAAUACAAAAGGGUCUUGACUCUAAAUGCAGUUUUAAGAAUUGGUUUUGAAUUUAAAUAAAGUUAAUUGAAUUUUAA